UUACCUUUAGACAUUACAUCACUCCUUCUGCACGUAAUUUUUGACGCACGUUUUCUUCUGCGUCAGUAAGAACGUCAGUGUUUCCUGCGCGUACACGCAAGGUAAACGCGAACAAUUCAGCGGCUUUAACCGGACGCUCGACGCCAUUAAUAAUGUUUUCCGUAAAUUCAGCGCCUUCCAUGAUGAGACAGG
rnacentral:rRNA from 1 species